rnacentral:rRNA from 4 species
UGACCUCAAAUCGGGUGAGACUACCCGCUGAACUUAAGCA